GCUGCACCUCUGCAGGGCUGGGCACCGUCCCUGCUGCACCUCUGCAGGGCUGGGUACCGUCCCUGCUGCACCUCUGCCAUGUGUCUGCAACCUGCUGCACCUCUGCCAGCCUGUGGCUCCAUCCCUGCUGCACCUCUGCCAGCCUGUGGCUCCAUCCCUGCUGCACCUCUGCCAGCCUGUGGCACCGUCCCUGCCACCAGAACACCAGGACAAUGCAGCGACCCUGGCCCGGGGUCCCAAAGGCUCCAGGACCCCCGAGCCCGAGCAGGCAAGCAGGAAGAAGAGGGAUCCACUCUGGAGCUCCACACGAUGAUUGAAACCCAUCCAUGAGCUCGGCAGAUGGGAAUCAGUGGGGUGAAAACCUGUGGGAUUUACCCUGGCAUGGGAACAGGAGGCCCUCAGCAGUGGGGAAGAGCUACCAGGAAAACGAAGAAGCUGUCGAGUGCUGACCAGAGGUUAUCAGACGCUCUACAGAGCUCCUGCUGCUGUCCCAGACUGCUGAAACUCAGCGAGCUCAAUUCCACUGGGAAACUAUUUUCAAAAUCUGAGACUGAGAGUAAAAAAAACCCCAAAAAACCAACCAAAAACCAAAAUAAAAAUCACAUUUUUACCCAAAAGCUCAGCAAUGUGAUGUGGGGUAGGCAGUGGCAGUGGAUGUGUUCCCUCCCUGGGCUGUCUGUCCCUGUGGCUGUAAAUCCCCCGCAGGCUGGGUGGGUGCCAGAGCUCUGGGGAGCCCUGAGGGCACAGCCGGGGCCAGGGUGGCACACAGGCAGGGUCAGGAUGCUGGGCACAGGCUGGGGAACUGGGAUUUCAAUCAGCUUGGUGCACAGAGGGGCGAGCUGGCUCCUGUCUCCCACGUGCGCCCCUGGAGCACUGAACCCUCCCACAGCACCUGCAGCAGCAGGAGCUGCUCCCACGC